rnacentral:rRNA from 1 species
UACGGAGGGAGCUAGCGUUGUUCGGAAUUACUGGGCGUAAAGCGCACGUAGGCGGCUACUCAAGUCAGAGGUGAAAGCCCAGGGCUUAACCUUGGAACUGCCUUUGAAACUAGGUAGCUAGAAUUCUGGAGAGGCGGGUGGAAUUCCGAGUGUAGAGGUGAAAUUCGUAGAUAUUCGGAAGAACACCAGUGGCGAAGGCGGCCCGCUGGACAGAUAUUGACGCUGAGGUGCGAAAGCGUGGGGAGCAAACAGG